rnacentral:lncRNA from 1 species
GAGGUGUCACUGUGAGCUGUGUCGGUGCCUUAAGAGAUAUCUGUUGUGUCUUAUUACUUGGUUGCUUUUCCCCACAUGUACAAUGACAAAAAUGCCUUCAACCUAUUUGAUCCAGCCGUUCCAGUACAACUCCUAUACUUGCCAUCUUUCCAAGCCCAAAGCUAUAGUUCCUCAUGGUCCUGCACUCCAUGGACUAAAUUAUGAUGAAACUGAAACACAAAAAAUUUAGAUUAACUCUUAGGUGACAAAGCCAGGAUUGAAGCUCAUGCGGUCUGGCUCCAGAACAACUCUUCUUCAUAGUUACGUUAUACUGCCCCUGCAUUGUUGGUAUUGAAAAUAACUGAUACCGUGCUUCCAGAAGAUUUUUCUAACAGUGUUUGCAAGCUAUAAAAUAGUGCUUUCACUUAGAAAAGGCUAGACGUGGUGGUUCAUGCCUGUAAUCCCAGCACUUUGAGAGGCCGAGGCACCAUGCUGGGAGAUAAGGAUCCAACAUAAGACAAACAGUGCUGAUGCUUUUGGAAAGCUCAUAUUCAAGCUGGGGAGACAAACAACAUACAAAAACUCACUCUGUCACUCAGGCUGGAGUGCAAUGGCAC